GAUGAACGCUGGCGGCGUGCCUAAUACAUGCAAGUCGAGCGAACAGAUGAGGAGCUUGCUCCUCUGACGUUAGCGGCGGACGGGUGAGUAACACGUGGAUAACCUACCUAUAAGACUGGGAUAACUUCGGGAAACCGGAGCUAAUACCGGAUAAUAUAUUGAACCGCAUGGUUCAAUAGUGAAAGACGGUUUUGCUGUCACUUAUAGAUGGAUCCGCGCCGCAUUAGCUAGUUGGUAAGGUAACGGCUUACCAAGGCAACGAUGCGUAGCCGACCUGAGAGGGUGAUCGGCCACACUGGAACUGAGACACGGUCCAGACUCCUACGGGAGGCAGCAGUAGGGAAUCUUCCACAAUGGGCGAAAGCCUGACGGAGCCACGCCGCGUGAGUGAUGAAGGUCUUCGGAUCGUAAAACUCUGUUAUUAGGGAAGAACAAAUGUGUAAGUAACUAUGCACGUCUUGACGGUACCUAAUCAGAAAGCCACGGCUAACUACGUG
rnacentral:rRNA from 1 species